rnacentral:lncRNA from 1 species
UCUUCGUGUCCUUCUUGCCGCCAGGUCUUGGUGGUUGCCAGGUGUCAAAAAUGUGGCGGCGUACCCGGUAGCUCAAGCUCAGGAUCCGAAUCCGAUACCCGGGUCAAGCAACGUGAAGAUGAACCUAAUAAUAGCUUCUUGCCUUGAUUCCUUUUUUUUAGACUUUUCCUUUUUACACAUUACAAUAAUAUAUAAUUAAAAAGUAUUCCUUAUCAUUUUAGAGGAUAAUGGUAAUCUGUCAUGUGUAAAUAUAUAUAUUUAUUGUAAAUGUAUUAUUAUGUGUAUGUAAUGGAAAGUUAAUGUCAUUGAACACUUUUUUUCUUUUUUAUAUUGCAAAGUAAUUAAUUUUUAUCAAUAUAUCGUGUUAUGGAUAUCGACGUGAUUUGUGAACAAACUAGAGACCAUGAAACAGUUGCAAGAACUUGGAACUUGGACGUUGGACCACACAAUUCGUACGUAACUACAACCCAAAUCAACUACCAGAACUUUAAAAUUUGGUACCGAACCGAACAACCAGAUAUGCUUGAAUGUAUUUAUUAACGAGAAUAUGCGAUGGUAACGUGAAUGUAUUAAUUAUGUUACCGACUUUCUACGUUUUAGAUGGUUUUGUGUCGUGACAAUAUUAUAUAGUAAUCCUUUUUUUUUGUCACUGAUAUUAUAUAGUAAUCCUAAAUGAAUUAAGUGCACUUAAAAAAAAACUAAUAAUAAUAGUAAUCAUUUGGAUAGAAAACGCCAGUUCUGUAUAUAUUCCCUCGUAGCACAAUUUGGUUCAUUGGAUAGAAAACGCCAGUUCUGUAUAUAUUUUUUAUGUAAGAAAUCAAUGACGUAGCAUUCGCCUUGUAGUUUAAUUUACGCUUGGUUUAAUUUACGUCUAAGUUCAUGUAUAGAAGCAUCAACGGACUCAAUUAACACAAUUGAAUGUUGGUUGUUCGUUGCUACUUAUUUGAUUAACUUAUGGAAUAUUCGAUAGAACAUAUGGAAAAGUAGACAGAUGGACCAUUGUCCGUGGAACAGAUGGUGUGAUGUGUUUUGUGUGAGUUUUCUCUUUUUCCCUUUUCCAUUGAUAAAGCAUCAAACAAAUUGUUGGGGUUUAUAUUAUUUAAUUUAUUCAUUGAGUAAUUUAUGAAUGUUGGGAUCUCGAGCCUGUAUCCCACUAAACUAUCAAACGCGAGUUUAAAUUAUUAGCAUUAGGACUUCGGAAAUGACCAUGAAGAUGGUCUUAUUUUGUCGUCGAACAUUGACCUAACAAAAGAUCGCCAAGAUCCUAGAGUACAACUUAAGUGCGAAUUAAGACAAGGAGAAAGUAUUUGAUAAUAGUUAGUCAAGAUGUAGAUAAUCAAUCACACACAUGAAAAAUAAUAGUUAGUCAAGAUGUAGAUAUGGAUUGUUAUCUUUCUACCGAUCUACGUGUAGCCAUCAAAUAAAACACGUACGAAUAAUGAUGGUCCACCAUCGCGAGCUAUCAUCAUUCAUCACGAGUUUUUCCACUAUGGAAAGUGCUGCUCAGCGUUCAAGUGCUAAGUGAUAACCUUAUUUAAUCGUAUAACUUAUAGCGUGUAUAGAAAUUUCGUAAUAAGAGUUAACUAAAUUGCAAAAUAUCCAUCAAUUUAGACCCCAAAAAAAUAUCCACCAAUUAAUGCUCUAAGUCUUCAAAAUUGAACCGGUAUUUAAUGCUGUAAGUCUUCAAAAUUUUCGAGCUGAAAGCGAGCUACCACUACUAACUCAAAGUGGUUGUUUUAAGACAUAUUUGGGUUAGUGGUAAUAGCUCGAUUCAGUUUUCAUAAUAGACUAAUUGACAUUACCUCUAUUUUUUUGGGUAAGACAUUACCUUUUCUCACUGACAUCUUCCAAUUCAUACAUAUUCUACUCGAAACUGACUAAUGUCGAAUCACCAAGACGGAUAAAUAAUAUUAUUAAAAUCGUGGUGUGGUAUUUAAUAUCGAAAUUGAAGUAUUCCCUUAUAUAAUACAGUAUACUAUUGUAUUAUGUACGUGCAUGCAUGUGCCUGAUCUGUUACCUUGUCCCUUGGCUUUAUUUCCAUGGAUAGAUGAUAGCAUUAUUUUGCCUAGCUCUCAAAUAAUAUUACUAAAAUGCUAGCUAUACUACUUAUGAAUAUUUAUUUCUUUUGUAUAUCGCAAAGAAAUAGUAGGAAGUCGAAAGUGAAGAGCUGCUCUUUUGGUUUGUUAAAAGUAAAAAGUAUAAUUUCUCAGUGAAAAAUGAUGAAACUGAUAUUCCAAAUCUGGCCGGAGAUUCGCUGGUUGAUUCGUAGCUAGUGGUGGUAUAGCUGAACAAAAUCAUUAUCGGUUGAGUAUAUAUAAUAUAUAUGUGUGUGCGUGAAGGUUUAAGAAAGUGUACAAUUUUUUUGACGCAUUAGAGCACUUCCAACGGGAGUUUUACAUGUUAGAGUUCUUAGCGGAAUAUAAAAACUCCACUUUAAGAACCUUUCAUUAAUCAUGCUGUAAAGAUUGAUAUGUGUAUAAGUAUAUAUCGUAUAUGUGUAUCAAGAUGUGGGGUUCAUUAUAUUGUGGAGAACCCUUCCUAUUAAUCAUUCUUUAAAAGUUUAUAUGUGUAUAAGUAUAUGUUGUACUAGGGUCGAUCCGGGCUACGCCCGGGAUUUUUUGUUUAAAUUUAAAUGUUGAUUGUAUAUUAUUAUGUUUAUUUUAUUUAUAAAUAUUAUAAUCUAUUAUAAAAAAUAUAAGUAGCCAAACAAUUAUAAAAUCAAUUUAAAUUAUUCAUUGUUCAAUUACGCAUUUUAAUAUUUUUAAUAUCUAUUUUUUUUAUUAGAAAUUAUAUAUAAGGUGAUGAGUAGAAUAAACAAAAAUUAUUAUUAUUUAGUUAUGGUGUUUAAUUGAUUAUGUCGAAUAAGGUGAUACUGUGUCGUUUAGGAGUGAUAGAGAUGUAAAGUGUGUGCUGAUUUGAUGUUAUACCUAUUAGAGUGUGUGUUGUUUCUGUGUUGACUCUUGAGAAUGUGUGUUGUUUUAAUGACUUUAACUAAACGUGUUUGUCAUCUUACAUAGGAUCCACAUAAAACCUAAAUUUCUUUACACAAACAUUUCUUUUCACGCCGUAAACUAAUUCUCUCAACUAAACUCAUCUCUUUCAAACGCCAAAGCAACCCUUUGACUCUCUGCAAAUCAGAAACCGUAAACUCAUCCCUAUCAAAUCUUGACUCUGCGUAAAUCGAAAGCAAGCAUUUUUUUUUUUUCUUUUGACUUUUUGAACUUUUUUUCGGAUAACCCGCUAGACCCGCUUGAUUGAUGCGGGGCGGGUGCGGUUAUCGAAAUCCGGUCAUGCGGGUCUUGCGGGUAUAAUUUUCAAGUGAAAAAAUGAGUUUAACCCGCGGCGGGGCGGGUUGAGCGGGCGGAUCCGACCUGCUUCCCAGGCCUAAUCAUGGGUCUAGAGGAAACAGCAGGAUUGAAACAGUUACCAACGGCGUUAGGAUGCGUCUCCGUUCUUCACUGCUGUCGUAUUAGGGUUAGCAAAACUCAGACUUAUCCGGCCAGUUACGCUUUCUUUAUCACAGCCCAAUAACAUGUAAAAUAACGAAGCCCAAUAAGAUGAUGUUAAUGAAACGCUGCGUUUCUUCUCCUUGGACACGUGGCAGCACUACAAACCUCGACUUUCUGACAUGGCGCUGACGUGGAUGCACAUGAGUGAAGCAAACAUAUUUUCAUAGUCAUCAUAGCAGCUCUCCUCUGCGCACUGAUUUGCGUCCUCGGCUUAGUCGCCGUCUCUCGAUGCUCCUGGCUUCGUCGCAUCGCUGCCAGUAGGAGCUCCGCCGCGAACUCCGAUCAGAAUCACCAACCGCCGGUAGCUGCGGCCAACAAAGGAUUGAAAAAGAAAGUUCUCCGAUCGCUGCCGAAGCUCACAUACUCGCCGGAUUCUCCUCCGGCGGAGAAACUGGCCGAGUGCGCGAUCUGCCUGAUGGAGUUCGCCGCCGGCGAUGAGCUCAGAGUGUUGCCCCAGUGCGGUCACGGUUUCCACGUUACGUGUAUCGACACGUGGCUUGGAUCUCACUCUUCGUGUCCUUCUUGCCGCCAGGUCUUGGUGGUUGCCAGGUGUCAAAAAUGUGGCGGCGUACCCGGUAGCUCAAGCUCAGGAUCCGAAUCCGAUACCCGGGUCAAGCAACGUGAAGAUGAACCUAAUAAUAGCUUCUUGCCUUGAUUCCUUUUUUUUAGACUUUUCCUUUUUACACAUUACAAUAAUAUAUAAUUAAAAAGUAUUCCUUAUCAUUUUAGAGGAUAAUGGUAAUCUGUCAUGUG